rnacentral:tRNA from 1 species
GCGGGCAUAGUUUAGUGGUAAAACGUUAGACUUCCACUCUAAAGAUGGGGGUUCGAUUCCCCCUGCCCGCU